UGUAUGUGGCCAUGCAGGCUCCUUGCAAUAGUGGAGGAAUAAUUAGAGGCACCUAUUAUAUACUGCUGCCCUAUUGUCACAGAAUUAUUUAGAUCAAUCUAGAUAAAUCUAUACGCAGGACAGGGAGUGUAGUGGAAUUCCAGGGUCACAGCCUGAACCAAUGGGUGGGCUAUGUGAGUGUGUGAGUGUGGCGGUAGGAACGGGGGAGGGACACAUUCCUCAGCUCGGCUCUCCCUGCGCGCUGCUACCGGGAGGGAUCUGUUUCCCUGAAACCUCACAACAGUGCAAGCCAGAUGCAUGAAGACCAUCAAAGUGGGAAGAUGCUCUGGCAGAGGAAAAAAAACUUUAAAAACUUCAGUGGCACUUAAAGCAACUAGCUUUGCAGGACAAAACAUUUUGGAUCAGAUGCAAGAAACCAAGGAGCAACUGUUGGACUGGGGUCCUUGAACCCAGAAUAACUACAACUCAAUCCUCCUCCUAGGGAGCCUGGUUGAUGCAUCUAGCUUUACCCUGACUUUCCUCCUGCUGUUAACUAUGAUUCCAGAUGAGGAGUCAUGAUGCUCUGGACCUCAGCAAUGAUCUCCUGGUCUGCCACCAGUGGAACUGAGAACCAUGCAAACUGCUGGGAACAGUGAUGCCAAGAACCAGUUGGCAUCUGGUAUAGGAGCUGUUGUGAGUCCAUCUAUGGGCUGGGGGAAGAUAGGACCAGUACCUACUGAAUGUGGGGUUGUGUAGGGAAAGGUGGGACUAAGCACAAUGGUACUUACCUUCAGGUUGUCCUCUGAUUGCCUUUCAAACCUGCUCCAUGCCUGGCUGAUGCUGAGAGCUGUGCAUCACCAUGUGCUAAGGCAGCACUCCAUCCUCCCUGUCCCCAGGGUAGAACACAGAAGGUGGUGCUGGCAGCUGCUCCCCAGUCCUCUGCAGCAAAGCUGCGUGGCCCUGUAUGUUCAUUAAUCUCUUGGUGAGAGGCAAAUGGCACCUGCCUAGUGCUGACUGCAUUAGAGGAGGAAAGUAACAAAUUGCUCUGAGCCUUGUACCAGUCUUUUUAAUGACUGGCAAUGUGUUUGCCUCUGCUCUAGUGCUGCUGUAGUACCAGUGCAUAAUUAAGACCUUAUUUUUUGUGCAAAGCAUUGAACUGAGCCAAACAGCCAACAGCCCAUCCUCACUGCUACAACACCUUGCUUGGGUUCUUGGUGCCAGAUGAACUUGGCUUUGCUCUGAACUUGACACUACUACAGCUGUCCCACUUGCUGCAGCAGACUGAGUCACGUCAGAGGUAAAAUGCUUAUUUUUUUUGAAAGGAGACUUAGUGUAACAACUCCUGAACUUUUGGUAUGGAGCAAGACAACUUUAGAAAGUAGUGCUGUCACAUGGUGCACUGAGUUCUGAAGAUGAAACACAUCCUUUGAGGUUUGCAGGUCUGAGUCACUGUAGAGCUUCAACCUGACCAAAGCAAAUGCAUUUGGAGAUUUUUUUUUUCCAUGGUUUUAUGCAAAGGCUUCAAUUAUUGAAGCCUUUGGUAAGUAGCUGAGACUUGUUGCUGUGCCAUAUUUGGAGUGGUUUCAAAGCUCUGUUCAUAUAUUCUAGUUUUUGUAUGACUUAAAACGUUAUUUUCCAUGCUGUACAUAUGUGAAGUUUUAAAGAACUUUGGUUUUGAUUUCCAGUUUUUAUAAGCUUUGAGAUGAAAAUAAAGGGCUCUGUUUAAAAUGGAAAAAAA